AUAAAAUAUACCAACACGAAGAGAGGGAGAUGGAGAUUUUGUUUUGACCGAUCUCGCGCCAGUCUUGUCCGUGAAUCCAUGCCAAGAACAGUUAUGAGUGGACGGUGCUCGCGGCGAAAAAAUACCUCGGUCCGUAUCGCCUCGAUCCUGCGAUCGCGAUUCGCGGUGAAAGAUGGUGGCUGCCGAGACGUGGAUACAACGGUGAUCAUAUAAAUUCAGGUCUAAAUUUGAAUCCAAGAGCGAGGAUCUUCUGCGUGAAGUUUCUUACGAUUCGAUCAUUUAAGAAGAUGCAUCGUUGGAUUAAAAAUUUCGGUGUUCCUCGCGAUAGUGUUAGAACAAGUUAUCCGAAGAUACCGAAUUGCCUAAUGUCUGUCCGACGUCUAAUUGCCUCUAAUCUAUUGACUGUCUAACAGCAAAGUGGCGUUUUGAGAAGAUUACCUUGAAGAUGAAAUUCCCCAUGACUUCCCGAAGGGCCUCCACUUUCGGCUGUCACUGCUGGCCGAUAUGAGGCCAUAUUUACACGCGGGUUCACAGAACCCCACGUAGCGAACUUUCUUUCUUUCUCCCCGCCUAUAUAUCCUCACCCCUGACACGUUUAUUUCCGACGACACGGCGCAUCUUUCGUUUAUCAUUUAUCCUAUUCGCGGUCUUGUGUAUUUUUUCUUCGAUUUCUUGUUUAUAAGCGUCUUCCUUUCGUUCCACCCCUCUUGCCCCGAGAGAAGAAAGAAAGCUCACAGUGGAAAGGCUUAUUUUCACCUUUUUACAGCGUCGAGCUAGUUUGAUCGAAGAUCGCAAAAUCAUUCGAUUAAAAAAGAUAUGGCCAACACUCGUCUUAAUUAUUAAUGUGAAACUUCUCUCGAUUCACUCUCUCGAGUUUACCCACUUUUUGCUCUAAUAAAGUCGCCCAGGUUUUAUCUGGAAAUUUUCACCGUAAGCUCUAACCCGACCAACGAGAGAAAAUCGAACGAACACGAAUGAUAAAUUCGUCCUACUCGAUUAAGUUCACAAAUCCAAUUAGUAAGACUGAUCCGAUUUCUGCGUUUAAUUAAGACAUCAGUCUGUUGCGUCUUGCUUCUGAUUUGAUUAAGUACGUGAAAACAUAUCGCGUUAGAACGAUGGACAAACAUUUUACGGAGAACAGAUGCAUUUAGAAAGUAGAAUAUGUAAAUCGGGCACUAAUCUAACACGCUAACCAUUAUGGAUUAGGUGUAGCUACUCUAUAGCUCGUGUUAUGCGCUUCUUCUUUCACAGAAUACGUCAUUAAUUCCAUGAAUAUUGAUGAUGCUUUUUUAGUGCGUCUUGGUUUCUGUGGAAAUUACAUAAUUGUUUACAUUGCAUAUGGAUUACAUUUCUUAAUGCAUCGUUAUCUAAUUGUAAUAGCAACGGCUAUGAUAAUAAGAUAACUGAAAUAUGGCAAUAAAUGAUUAAAGGGCGCAGAAAAAAACCAAUUGAAGGAACAAAGAAUCAUCGCCACGUCAAUUAAGGAGAAAUUGUGUUAAGAAUAAAUCAAUCUCAUUCAUAGUUCGAUUUAAGAAAAAAAAAAAAAGAAAAGAAUAUGAAAAUAAUCUUGCUCGAAACUGAGAAAUGAUAAGUCAUAACAUGAUAACCUGAUAACCAUGAAUAACAACGUAUAAUAUAAUAUUUGACGAAGACUGAUAUACGCAACGUGGUGAUUAUCGUUUAACGAUUGAUUACAUCUUUGGAUGUCGAUCAAAAUUCUUUGAAAAUAAAUUGACAAGAUCAACGACUUGGCACAGAAAAAUAAAAU
rnacentral:lncRNA from 1 species